rnacentral:lncRNA from 1 species
CUCCGUUUAAUUGCAACUUUACGACUCUUUUUAAUCUGUAAAGAACCUUUCGCUUUUAUUGUUUUUUUUUUUUUAAUUAUGAGUCUUCACAUAGGAUUCAGCAGCAGGAAGCAUCCAGUAGGGUGACAACUUAUCAGCCUACAAGUACAUUUGCCUACCCUUUUCCACCAGCACCACUUCAUCCUCAAGCAGUUGCUUAUAAACAAUCAGCAGCUUUUAUACACCCUAGCCUGAAUGCUUUCAGGCAACCGC